UACGAAGGGGGCUAGCGUUGUUCGGAAUUACUGGGCGUAAAGCGCGUGUAGGCGGGUCUUUUAAGUCAGGGGUGAAAUGCCAGGGCUCAACCUUGGAACUGCCUUUGAUACUGGAGACCUUGAGUCCGGGAGAGGUGAGUGGAAUUGCGAGUGUAGAGGUGAAAUUCGUAGAUAUUCGCAAGAACACCAGUGGCGAAGGCGGCUCACUGGCCCGGUACUGACGCUGAGGUGCGAAAGCGUGGGGAGCAAACAGG
rnacentral:rRNA from 1 species